GAUAGAACAGAUUUUUAGAACGGCAUAUUUUCUGAAGUUUGUUACGAGAAAAAUGCACAGACCGCACCAAUACAGUAAUCAUUAUAUACCAAAGAUAAAACAGGGAAUCAAAGAUAAACAUAGAAACCAUCAAAACUCACCACAAGUGGAAAGUUCUAAGUGUGUGAUACUAUAAACUUUGUGAACAAUAGAAUGUAUAUAUAUUUUUUAAUAAUCAAUGCCUUUGGGAGCUGUGUCCGUUUAGCCAGCAACAUUUCUUAAAAUUAGCCUAACUAAACCAACCAUACAAAAAACUAUUACGAACCUAAUCGACCAAUCAAGGAGAGGGAAGGAAAAGGGUUAAAAAAUAAACUGUAGCUAAAAUAAUAGACAAAAUAAAUAAAAUAUAAUUUAAAAAC
rnacentral:lncRNA from 1 species